rnacentral:rRNA from 1 species
ACGUAGGUGGCGAGCGUUAUUCGGAAUUACUGGGCGUAAAGCGUGUGUAGGCGGGACUUUAAGUCGGGUGUUAAAGCUCAUGGCUCAACGCUGAAAGUCCGGGGGAUACUGAGCGACUUGAGUGCUGUAGAGGAAAGUGGAAUUCCAGGUGUAGCGGUGAAAUGCGUAGAUAUCUGGAAGAACGCCAACGGCGAAAGCAGGUUUCUGGGCCGUAUCUGACGCUGAGACACGAAAGCUAGGGGAGCAAACAG